rnacentral:rRNA from 1 species
CACGUAGGGUGCGAGCGUUAUCCAGAUUUACUGGGCGUAAAGCGCGUGUAGGCGGCUGGUUAGGUGUGAUGUGAAAGCCCGGGGCUCACCCCCGGAAGUGCAUUGGAAACUGGUGGACUCGAGUCCCGGAGAGGAGAGUGGAAUUCCUGGUGUAGCGGUGAAAUGCGUAGAUAUCAGGAGGAACACCGGUGGCGAAGGCGGCUCUCUGGACGGUGACUGACGCUGAGACGCGAAAGCGUGGGGAGCAAACAGG